AGGCUUGUAGCUCAGGUGGUUAGAGCACACCCCUGAUAAGGGUGAGGUCGGUGGUUCAAGUCCACUCAGGCCUA
rnacentral:tRNA from 1 species